GACAGAGGUGCCGAGCGUUAGGCGGAAUCACUGGGCUUAAAGCGUGUGUAGGCGGACUUGUAAAGUACCUUGUGAAAUCCCACAGCUCAACUGUGGAACUGCUUGGUAUACUGCUUGUCUUGAGCCACUUAGGGGCAGUCGGAACAGACGGUGGAGCGGUGAAAUGCGUAGAUAUCGUCUGGAACGCCAAAGGUGAAAACAGAACUGCUGGGAGUGUGCUGACGCUGAGACACGAAAGCCAG
rnacentral:rRNA from 1 species